UGGGAAUAUUGCACAAUGGGCGGAAGCCUGAUGCAGCAACGCCGCGUGCGGGAUGACGGCCUUCGGGUUGUAAACCGCUUUCGCCUGUGACGAAGCGUGAGUGACGGUAAUGGGUAAAGAAGCACCGGCUAACUACGUGCCAGCAGCCGCGGUGAUACGUAGGGUGCGAGCGUUGUCCGGAUUUAUUGGGCGUAAAGGGCCCGUAGGUGGUUGAUCGCGUCGGAAGUGUAAUCUUGGGGCUUAACCCUGAGCGUGCUUUCGAUACGGGUUGACUUGAGGAAGGUAGGGGAGAAUGGAAUUCCUGGUGGAGCGGUGGAAUGCGCAGAUAUCAGGAGGAACACCAGUGGCGAAGGCGGUUCUCUGGGCCUUUCCUGACGCUGAGGAGCGAAAGCGUGGGGAGCGAACAGGCUUAGAUACCCUGGUAGUCCACGCUGUAAACGGUGGGUACUAGGUGUGGGGUCCAUUCCACGGGUUCCGUGCCGUAGCUAACGCUUUAAGUACCCCGCCUGGGGAGUACGGCCGCAAGGCUA
rnacentral:rRNA from 1 species